rnacentral:rRNA from 1 species
AACGUAGGAGACAAACGUUAUCCGGAGUUACUGGGCGUAAAGGGCGUGUAGGCGGUUGGUUAAGUCUGGCGUGAAAGCUCUCGGCUAAACCGGGAGAGGUCGUUGGAUACUGGCCGACUAGAGGACGGUAGAGGCGUGUGGAAUUCCGGGUGUAGUGGUGAAAUGCGUAGAGAUCCGGAGGAACACCAGUGGCGAAGGCGACACGCUGGGCCGUACCUGACGCUAAAGCGCGACAGCAUGGGGAACAAACGGG